rnacentral:rRNA from 1 species
UACGGGGGGUGCAAGCGUUGUCCGGAAUCACUGGGCGUAAAGGGCGCGUAGGUGGUUUGAUAAGGCUGUGGUGAAAGCCCGGGGCUCAACCCCGGGUCUGCCGUGGCGACUGUCAGACUUGAGGGCUCGAGAGGCAGACGGAAUUCCGGGUGUAGCGGUGGAAUGCGUAGAGAUCCGGAAGAAGACCGGUGGCGAAGGCGGUCUGCUGGCGAGUACCUGACACUGAGGCGCGACAGCGUGGGGAGCAAAC